UGCUUAGAGUAAAUUCAAAUUUAAUUAGGAUUCUUUUUUUUUAUAUCAUUCUGGGGACCCCAAAAGGACGAGGGGGCGGAACCACGCCCCAGUGGACUUAAUGUAAAUGAAAAUUGACGCAAGGCAAGUUUAUUAAAAUGCGAUUUGCAUAAGCAUAUGGAAGGAGCGAAGGUGAGAGAGCAAUGAAUGUAUUUCAAGGGACAGAGGACACUCGCUGGAGCUCCGGAAUGAAAAUUCCCACCACCCCUCCACACCUCCCUGCACACUCGCAUUGGAAAACCCAAUUAAAAGUGGCCCAAAGUGGAACUCGUCCAUCUCAACAGGUGACAUUAAAGGAGUCCAUUCGCUAAGGUAACCAGUUUCCCAUUUUCACCCAUCUAAAUUGAGAAAAUCUCCUCAGACAGAUGGAAAUUGAUAAACCCAUUCGCUGUUGUCUGUAUUAAUUAAACGGCCAAGUUGUUGAGCAGGACUUUCGGGGGGCAGCUCACGAUUCCCAUCGAGUUUGGCAUAGUUUCCUUGAAGGGACAUUAUUCACUUAACGCCAGCACUUGGCAUACCCCACACCGCGGGGUGGCAAACUAUUGUCGUGGCGCUGUCAUUGCCGCAUCCUCUUGAAAGGAUUUCAAUGUCAAACCGCAACUGUAACCAGUUCUUGGUCCAUUACAUUAACCCACUGGCGCAUCAAGUUUACCGCCGGCGACCACAAAAAGCGACGAAAAUGAAAAUUCAUGAAAGUUUAUCGCACCGCCCUCCCAAGUGGGUCCAGGAGCAGGACACAGGAUCCGGAGACACGGAUACGAGAGAGGCUGUAGCCAACCAUUCGCUCCACUUUUGUGGUCAAUUAACGGCCCUCGGCCGGCCUCGAGUUUGUUUUUGUGUAAUGAAUUUAAAUGACCCACUGCGCCGGCUCAUCAAGUGCUGCAAAGUGUUUUCCAACAGGACGCGGAAGGACAUCAGCAGGACGCGGACUCCUUCCUCAGCAGUUUAAGCCCGUCCAGAUCCCGCUCGCUCUCUCCCUGUGACAGCACCUGUCGCCGAAAAAUUUCCAACAAUUUGGCUAAUGACCUUCUAUGGCGCUUAGAUGGAGUUGGACAGAGUUGCUAAAUAAAUACAUAUAUUAUGGCAAAAAUUUAGCUAUUUUAUAC